UACAGAGGUCCCGAGCGUUGUUCGGAUUUAUUGGGCGUAAAGGGUGCGUAGGCGGCGGAGUAAGUUGGGUGUGAAAUCCCGGGGCUCAACCUCGGAAUGGCAUUCAAUACUGCUUCGCUUGAGUACUGGAGAGGAGGCUGGAAUUUACGGUGUAGCAGUGAAAUGCGUAGAUAUCGUAAGGAAGGCCGGUGGCGAAAGCGAGCCUCUGGACAGUUACUGACGCUGAUGCACGAAGGCCAGGGGAGCAAACGGG
rnacentral:rRNA from 1 species